AAAACAAUAAAGCGUCUAAAAAUUGAAAAAAAUUGGUUCACCCAGGGCGAGGCUCGGCCAUUGCACCCCGGCUAUGCUGACCGCUGCGAAUUCCCCAAAUGUGGGAAUCUCGACUGCAUAAUUUGUGGUAGUGGGGGACUGCGUUCGCGCUCUCCCCUG